UGGGGAAUAUUGGACAAUGGGCGCAAGCCUGAUCCAGCCAUGCCGCGUGAGUGAUGAAGGCCCUAGGGUUGUAAAGCUCUUUCACCGGUGAAGAUAAUGACGGUAACCGGAGAAGAAGCCCCGGCUAACUUCGUGCCAGCAGCCGCGGUAAUACGAAGGGAGCUAGCGUUGUUCGGAAUCACUGGGCGUAAAGCGCACGUAGGCGGACUUUCAAGUCAGGGGUGAAAUCCCGGGGCUCAACCUCGGAACUGCCUUUGAUACUGUUGGUCUCGAGUCCGGAAGAGGUGAGUGGAAUUCCUAGUGUAGAGGUGAAAUUCGUAGAUAUUAGGAAGAACACCGGUGGCGAAGGCGGCUCACUGGUCCGGUACUGACGCUGAGGUGCGAAAGCGUGGGGAGCAAACA
rnacentral:rRNA from 1 species